rnacentral:lncRNA from 1 species
AAACAACACCGUUUUAGGUAAGAAGAAAAAAAAAACCAGGCAUUUGCCUAUGGUCGGGGAAGGUGAAGAGGCAGAAGCGUGUACACCUCUGCCAUCGACUGGAAAAUGAGGGGAGGAGACUGGCAUGACGAGAAAGACGAAUCAUGCAGGACUCCUCCCGCCCCUUCUUAAAAAAAUUAAGUGGAGGGAAGCCGAUCGGUAUAAGAAUAAAGAGAAAGAGAGGAAAAAAGAGGGAGAAGGUCACGACAACCAUCAGUCAGCAGCCGAGAAAGGAGAGGAGGAAGGAGAAGAGGAAAAACGAGGAAGAGAGGAUGGUGCUGCACGCGGCGGUGCGCGGGAGAAGAGCACNN